UACAGAGGUGGCAAGCGUUGUUCGGAAUUACUGGGCGUAAAGGGCGCGUAGGCGGUUCUGUAAGUCCCGCGUGAAAUCCCCCGGCUCAACUGGGGAACUGCGCGGGAAACUGUGGGGCUAGAGUUCAGGAGAGGGAAGCGGAAUUCCGGGUGUAGCGGUGAAAUGCGUAGAUAUCCGGAGGAACACCGGUGGCGAAGGCGGGUCUCUGGGCCGAUACUGACGCUGAGGAGCGAAAGCGUGGGGAGCAAACAGG
rnacentral:rRNA from 1 species